rnacentral:tRNA from 1 species
GCCUUCUUAGCGCAGUAGGUAGCGCGUCAGUCUCAUAAUCUGAAGGUCAUGAGUUCGAUCCUCAUUCAGGGCA